AACUAAAACGAAACGCUCUUUUACUAUUCGGUUUCUCACUGUAGAAAUGGCAUUUUGUAAUUUUGGGUAAGCUUGGGUUUAUGUGAAAAAGGCAGUCUGUGAUUGAAGGGGAGGCUUGGGUUUUGUGGGAUUCAUCAUCAUCAUCAUUGCUGGGAUCUGUCCAUGGUAGGUAUGGUAGUCACAGUCCUCAAGGCUAGAUUGAUUUUUUUGUGGCGGUUUUGAGUCGUGGCUUGAAUUAGAUUGGAGUAUUUCUUUGAGUUUCUACAUUAUGAUUACAAUUUGUCAGCCAUAUUGCUGGAAUGCGCAAAAUUUCAGUGUCAAAAUAGCAGUGUUGGGGGAUUUUCAGAGCUUUGUUAGCUGGGUUAACAGGCUUUUGGUUUUUCCUUUUUUUUUUAAAAAAAAAUUUGGAUUUGGCUACCCAGUGUUGAGGUUGAUGAGAUAAAUUGAUGGGUGAUCGUGUUGAUUUGAUUUGGAAGGUUUCAUCUAUCUCAUUUGACGUUCUUGCUUGGAUGAAUGUAUAUUUAAAUAUUGUGGUUAGCUUCUUCUUCUUCUUCUUCUUCUUUUUCCAGUGCUUUCUCUUACACAUAAAAAGUUCCAUGGCUAGCAGAUUCUUAAAUUGGUUUGAACCCUUUUAUAGGGAAUUGCUUGAUUUCCUUUUUAAUCUUGUUUUAGCGUUUCUUUUUUUCAUCUAUUCUAUUUCUUUUAUCUAUCUGUUUUGGAGGAUUUGUUUGUGUUGAGUUAUUUCUCUUGGGAAUGUGUCAUCUGCAGCAACUCUUGCAUUAUAGGUUUUAAAUAUUGCCUAUGUUACUUAUCAUCAACCUUUAUUUGACAUGUGUUCAAGUUGUCAUUUUUUACGAGUUUUUCCAUUUGUAUGUUGCACGAUCACAAACUGUGUGAUGAUUGUGCAUUUAAUGUGAAGAUUAUCUUCAAUGGUCAAGGGUGUUGGUAGAUACUGAUUUGAUAUUUAGUUUGAUUACAACACUGUGUUUGGUUCGUUAAUGACUCUGUUUCCUGUUAUGUGUAGGAACUAUGCCAAACAACAAAUAGUUCUUCUUCAAAUAACGAGUUUCUGGUUCAAAUUUGACUAAACCAAUUUUAACUUCUCCACUCAAUGUGGAAUUGGUUUAGGAAUUCUAAUGUAAUAAUGAUUCUUGGCUCUUUUUUUUUUUGUGUACACGUGUUUGUUUUACAGAUUUCUUUUAUGUUUCACAGUGUUUGAUGGAAUUCCAAGUAUUAUUCACUGGUAUAAAUCAAUGUCUUCCUGAGUGUUUUUGGCUUUUGGUCCGUCUGGAUUCUUUUACAGUAUCCCCCACUGGUUUGGAACAAGGAGCCAGCUCUGGUGCAUCUUCAAUUGGAAAACCUUUAUACAUCCAGCUACCGUGGAUUUGAAAGGCAAAACAUAUGAGCUGCUGAGAAUAAACGCUGGAAGAUUUUAGAUGGAAGAUCUAUACCAAAAUUUAGGUCCCCUUCAAUGUGAUGGUCCUGGUGCUGAUCCUAAGGCUCUAACUCUGUGUUGAAGACCAGGAUUACAUGGGUCUGAUCAAGAAACGGCAAGAAUACCUUGACGAGGAUUGGAGUCCAUGUUUGCAUAUCCAAAACCAUCCAUGUUCACCUAUCUUCACUUUGGAUUGGAAGGAACCACUUGCUGGGAUUUGCUCCCAACUUUGAACGGUCAAUGCAGAAAAAAGUCCAAAUUCAAAGCUAAAGGGUGAAGGAAAUGCAGACAAGUCAUCACAAACAGAACAAGCCUGGGAACUUGCAUUGCACGCAAAGCUAACUGGAUCAGUAUUGCUGUAGAAAAAAUGGAAAAUGUCUUUAAUAUUAGACUUUGAAUAUUAGAAGUCGUUGGUCUGUGCGGAGUAUUAACCAUUUAUAGAUAUAUUCUUAAGCGACCAAGUUCCAAUCAA